AGCACAGAACCAGCCACGAAGUCAAGAUCACGUGCUGACUGCGCACAGCAGAGCGCGCACAUGCUCCGGUGAUGGGAGAUGCAUGGAGUUUAUAGAAGUCAUGUAUCAAAAUCCUCCACGGAGUUGUGCUAUAACUGAGUGAGGAGGACCUUUUCCUGAGGGAGACUGUAGCCCGAGCUGAAUGGAGCGGGGGUGAGGAGCUUCUGACGCUGUGAAUACUGAGCAGGAGGCAGCCGCGAGGAGAUCACAAAAGGCCAGAUCUGACCUAUAAAUUUGUCUGGUUUGGUCUCCAUAAAGAUGAAGAAAGGUUUAAUGCCAUACUGUGAAACAUUCCAGACAAAACAACAUCUCCAUGAAGAAAAGCCUUUGAUGGACCCUCCACCAGAAAAUGAAC